rnacentral:lncRNA from 1 species
AUGCAGGGAGGGAGCUCGGAGGGAGCAGCGCGGCCCCCUCGGCCUUUCCCGGAUGGAUGCGCGGGAGGCGGCGGCAGGUCAGCUCAGGGGCGGGACGCGGGGGUCGGGGUGGGCGUGGGACGGACCUGCCCUAGGGCAGGUGACCCCCGCGGCCGAGCAGGACUCUCAGGUGGGGGCCACUCGCCCAGGGCCUUUAACAGCCUCCGGAGGAUUCGCCCACGGGGGCGUCCCCACACUCCCCACACCUGCCCGGGCCGCGUCUCACACGUGAUCCCCGAGUUAGCAAGACUUCGAAGAGGAGCGAGUGGUCACAGCAGAUGCACACGGUCGUCCCCACCAUCCCGGGCGGUGCCCUCGGAUGGCGCCGCUCCCCGUGCCCGUCCCCUCCCCCCCCGCCCCUCCGCCUCGCUCCCCUCCCUCCCGGCGCCCCCCUCCCCCGGCCCCUCCCCUCCUCCUUCUCCACGUCCUCCUCCUGCCUCCCCCUUCCCUACCCCUCCCCCCGCCCCUCCCCUCCUCCCCCUCCACGUCCCUCUCCUCUCCCCUCCCCGCCCGCCCCGUCCUCCCCAUCCUUCCCUCCACCCCAACUCCCCCGUCCCCUCCCCCACGUCCCUCUCCUCCCCCGGGCUCUUCCGCCCUCCGUUUCCCUUAACGGGCUCUGCUUCCCGGGCAGGGAACCGCCCCCCUCCGGGACCCGCGAGACUCCCCAAUAGAAGGGGCGGCCCGGAGGGAGCGCCCCGGCCCCCCGCCCUGCAGCUCCCAGCGGGCACGGGCGCCCCCGCUGCACCUCGGCCGAGCCCCCGGCGCCGGCACGCCCCUCGGUUCCCGCUUCUGCCGCAGCGCCCGGGCGGCCCCGACACCUUCCGCCCGCCCCGCCCCCCGCCGCCGCCCCGGCUCGCGCGCCCCUCGCGCUUCCUCCGCCCGCCCCAGCCUCCCCCACCCGCCCGCCUCCAGCCACGUGACAGGAAGGGCUCCGCCGCGCGACGUCACGACGUCCCCGCCGUCCGCCCCCGCCCCCGCCCCCCCGCGCGGCGCACGCAGACGGCGGGGGGACGGCGGGGGGGACGUGCUCGCGCGCCCCGCGCUCCCCACCCCGGGCCGCGCGCGGGUUCCCGGAUGUGCGCCGCGCCGAAGCCCCGCCCCCGCCGCCCCGCGGCGCCCCGCUGGCCCCGCCCUCCGCCGCCCUCCCCGCGCUCGUGCUGGAGGUUGCGGGUCAGCGCGAGCCUCCGCAGAGUCGGUCGCGGCCCCGCCUGA